CCCACGAACCCUAGCGCUCCAGAUCCGCCACCCACCUCACGCGCUCCCUCUCCCCCAUCCCUCCCCCCGUCCCCCCCAUCGCCGCCGCCACCCCGCCGAUCCCAUCCCUCCCGAUUCAGAUCCGACCCCGCCGCCCGCGCCCGGGCGCCACCACCCGCUCCUCCUCGCCUCCUGGAGGACGUCCGCCACUCUUCCUCCGCCCGUCCCGGAGGCCUCAGUCCGCGCCCUCCGUCGCAGGGCCGCCGCGCUCGUCCCGCCCUCGGCGCCGACCUCCACCGCCAUCUCGCUGGCUCCUCGCCGACGCCUCCGCCCUUCCCCGUCCAGCGCGCCGCUCGGGAACGAGCACUGGAAGGACCUGGUGGUCGCUGUCCGGGGCGACGUGCUCAUCCCGUGGCCCAAGACGGAGGCCGUCGUGGACAUGGUCGCCACCACCGACUGCGAGCGGGGGUCCUGGUCCUCUCCCUCGUCAUCCUCGGCGGCGGCAUCGCGGCUUGGCGCCAUCGACGUGCCCUGUGUCGACGUCUCGAUCAGCUUCACGGAUCGCCGUCUUCACGAGGUUGGUUGAAGAGGGCUGGAGUUCAUGCCGUUCCUGGUUCAUCUACGCCCUGCUCGGCCUCGACCCCUUCAUCUUCGACCUCAUCCUGCUGUGAUUUCCAUCCAGCCCUCCCCGUCCCCAUGGUGCUCUUUCUAGUUAGUACUCGUCCGAGAGAGUUGCAGUACCAACCGUUAGAAUCCUCUUUAUGUUAUUCAGUACGUCUCCCACUGUCGACUUGUUGCUCAUAAACAACACCGUUGAUUUGCUUGAUAUUCUGGUAUAGGAUCAUCAUAUAUUGAAAUCUGGGAGUUGUUUGAGAGUUCAGACUCCCUAUUUCGGGGCAGCAACAAGGAAAUUUAAGGCCUGUUUGUAGUGAUUCACAAGGAUUUCCUGGUGCGUGCUUUGCUACCCUUCGAACCAAAUCGAACCCAACAGAGAGAAAACACACCCUCACGCAUCCUUUUGGUCGCUGUCCCUGAUGCCAAAUUGUAAUCACUGCAACUGUACUUCUUACUUCUGUUAUUUUCACUUUUUGGUAACUGAAACAUAGUCUUCAUCGUCUGUUUACGAGUACACAUGAAUUACCACUAAAUGAGGUCAAUAUUUGUACUCCAUGGGCAAAUGUUGUCUACUUUGGGUUUCUCUUUCAUGGAAUACUGUUUAUAGUGAUAUACGCUUUCAUUGGGGUAACACAGAUUGGUGUUGAUACUUUCUGAUUGCUUUAUGUAACUGUAAGUCAUGUUAAAAAUAUAUAUCAAUAGGCAUAGUAAGUGAUAUGUGAAUGUCAAACUAAAUUAUAAAGUCAAGGAUUCGUGACAGUACUAUGAAUUGGUAUAUAUACCACUGCAUCGAUAAGUGCAGAACUGAAGCAUUGAUGGCAACUCUUCUUUUUGUGCCUGUAUAUAUUAUUGAAUCCUUCUUAUUUUUGUGUACUUAAUACAGAGGUUGCAAUAACUCUUCUACAGCACUAGAGUUUUGUUUCCCUGUACUUUUGUAACAUAUUUAGUCCUGUGAACUUUCAUCAUGAUCAGGUUGAAAAUAUUGGAGCUAAAUUGGUCAGGUUGAAAAUACUCAGGUUGGUGCAACUCCGUCCUUGUCACCCACACGUCGUGCCCGCAGCGGCCUCAGCGCCGUCGACACCACCACCAGCGCCGGCGGACGUCCGAGCUGCUUACUGAAUGCCAGAUGGUGGAAAAGAUUGUGCUGAUAUACGCCCGCGACAGCCCCAAACGCUGGAGCAGUUCAACUCCUUGCGGGUCCCCAAGCUCAGGUUUGGACCUUUCUUGGUGGUUGUCUCUCCUUACUUCAUCUCUUUUACUUUCAACUUUGUCGCAACCAUAGAGGAUUCUUAAUUUGAUUCUUCUGGUCAUUAUUGGUGCUGCUGCUGCUGUUGUUGUGGUUGUUGGAGGUGUUGCUGUUGCAUCUUGCGAAGCUGCCGUUGGGGCCCCAAAAGGAAUUCUACCCGAAGAAAUUUGGAGAAAGCUUGAAGCCCCAGUUAGCGACUUGCUUUCUAUGUUAUUGACUUGUAAUGCUAAAUUUGUUGAGAAUUUUGAUGUACUGUUGCACAUGUUACUCGAAUGUUGGUAGUUAUGUACAUAUAGUCACAAUAUUAUCCGUUGUUUACUUGAAAUGCAUUCUUGGGCUGAAAGUGGCUGAAAAAGUAUAUGUUGUAUUGAA